rnacentral:rRNA from 1 species
GACGAGCGCUGGCGGCGUGCUUAACACAUGCAAGUCGAACGCUGAAGCUCAGCUUUUGUUGGGUGGAUGAGUGGCGAACGGGUGAGUAACACGUGAGUAACCUGCCUCCUUCUUUGGGAUAACGCCCGGAAACGGGUGCUAAUACUGGAUAUUCACUGGUCUUCGCAUGGGGGUUGGUGGAAAGGGUUUUUCUGGUGGGGGAUGGGCUCGCGGCCUAUCAGCUUGUUGGUGGGGUGAUGGCCUACCAAGGCUUUGACGGGUAGCCGGCCUGAGAGGGUGACCGGUAACAUUGGGACUGAGAUCCGGCCCAGACUCCUACGGGAGGCAGCAGUGGGGAAUAUUGCACAAUGGGCGCAAGCCUGAUGCAGCGACGCCGCGUGAGGGAUGGAGGCCUUCGGGUUGUGAACCUCUUUCGCUCAUGGUCAAGCCGCAACAAUGGUUGUGGUGAGGGUAGUGGGUAAAGAAGCGCCGGCUAACUACGUG